CGAAAGGUGGUUCCCAUUACUCUACUGGGUUUUGCGCCACAUAGUAUUGUCCUUCCUUCUCUGCUCAUGGUCCUCUCUUUCCUCCCUUCUUGGUGCUCUCGGUCCCCUUUCUGGCUGGCUAUUUCUUGUCGGUGGUUCUGCUAUUUCAUUCCUUUCUUCCCUUUUGUUGCACAUGCUGUAUUUCCAUGCCAUCGAGGGUUCCCGAUCCAGUCUAUUGUUCGCCAGGCUUUCGGUUCGCGGUCUGCUUGUUGUCUCGGGGGACUCCGCUGUUGUUGGCUGGACAUUUCUCGCUGCAGGUUUUAUACACUUCGCCUCGUCCCAUUUUAUUGUGACAUCUUUGUCAUAUGCUUCCUGUGCUGGGGCAGUGUUGCUCUCGAAAUAUCA
rnacentral:lncRNA from 1 species